CACGCCGUAAACGAUGGGUACUAGGUGUUGGGGGUUUCGACGCCCUCAGUGCCGGAGUUAACACAUUAAGUACCCCGCCUGGGGAGUACGGUCGCAAGACUGAAACUCAAAGAAAUUGACGGGGGCCCGCACAAGCGGUGGAGCAUGUGGUUUAAUUCGACGCAACGCGAAGAACCUUACCAAGGCUUGACAUCCCUCUGACCGUUCCUUAAUCGGAACUUUCCUUCGGGACAGAGGAGACAGGUGG
rnacentral:rRNA from 1 species